GUUUUUUUGCUGUAGAGUUGCCCUUUUACUUGAUAAGUAGAAAUAAGAAAAAAGGGAGCGAGCUUUCACAACUGAAAAACCUCAAUAACAAACAAGGACUCAACCUAUGGUACAUCCGCAGAAGACUAUUUCCGUUCAGAAACAAGUAAAAGUUAAAUAAUUAAAACAUUGGGAAAAGCCAUCUUUAGUAAAGCAUUUACUAACCGUUUCUAUGAGUUUCAUUAAGUAUUUCCAACCCUUUGUUUCGCCUUCUUCUUAUCCUAUCCUCGUUGCUGGCUGUCCAAAACUCCGUCAAACUUGUAAAGAUGUUGACAUCAGUCGAGUUAAAACCAUCGAAUUUCAAAAUUUAAUUUCCAAAAUGGUGCACACUUUGAGAAAACACAAAGCUUGCGGGCUAUCCGCUCCUCAAAUCGGUUUAAAUAUAAAUUUGUUUGUAAUGGAAAUUCAAAGUAAUUUAUUUCAUGGGAAAAGUCGUUAUUAUGAAAACAUUCCAACGACUAUAUGCAUCAACGCCACACUAGAUCCCAUUUUAAACACUUUUUCUAACAAAACUAUAGAAAAGGAAAUUCUCAAUAAUAAAAUUAAAGAUUUUUUAAAUAAUAAUCAUCUUGAGAUCUCUCUUGAUUCUAAUUAUUGCCUGCGGCGGGAGAUGUGCUUGAGUUUGCCGAACUGCUCCGCCGUCGUUCCUCGCUAUAAUAAAGUUUUACUAAAAUAUACAGAUGAAGAUUUGAAUGCUCGUGAAUGGAAGGCCAGCGGCUUAACUGCUCGAAUAAUUCAACAUGAAUACGAUCAUCUCAAAGGAAAACUUUUUAUAGACAAAAUGUGCUCUACAACUUUUGCUUUUGAUUCCGAAAUUGAAAACCGUU